UUUAUCCUGCAACAAUCAAGAUUGUCAAUACUCAAGACCAGGUGAAUUCAUAUCUACUCCAAGCCAAGAGUGAUGAUCAGAGGGUCAUAUGGAUUAACCAUUGGAGCAAACAUCGCCGCACCUGUAUGGUUGACUAGAUUUAUUCUCGUAUCCUUCAUAAUUAAUUGCAUGGUACACCUAUUUUCGUUUUUUGUGCUAGUUUGGGAAAACAUUUUUAUGCUAUGUAGGUAACAUAACUGCCUUAUUGCAAUCCUUGUCCACGCGUCACUUGUUGACAUGGGGACAUGGAUAUGAAAAGAAUCAUAGUUCAUUGACCGACAUAGCAAAAAAAAAAAAAAAAGGUACCCAACUAGGAGUAAAGAGAUGGUUGCUUUCAGCUAUUAUAUCUGAAAAGUAGUAAUAGUAUCACCGGAAUGUAGCAGACUGGAAUGUAAACUGACCUGCAAUUUUACUAGGUAUGUAAUUAAGGGCAGCCCAAGCAUGAAUUGCCCCGCUUGAGUACCCCAGCACCCAGAACUUGUUCACAAUUUUGGCAGCGUCUGCUAAGUGUAAAAGAUCAAUAGCUGAUGAUUGGAGAGUUCUGUUUGGGUGUGAAUCACUUUCCCCAAAUCCAGGUAGAUCAUAAGUUACCAAUCGAACACCAAACUCUUCCAAUAGUGACUUCUUGAUGCCUGGUAUACCUGUUGAAGCAACUUUUUGUUCAUAACACACGGGUUUCUUAUAUAUAAUUAAUACAAGAAAGAGUUCUUACGUAACCAAGUCUACCUGCAAGCCGAGAUGACAAAAAUCCAUGAGGAGCAACUAUCGAAUAUCUAGCUCUGUCUGCAGAAACUCCUUGCUCAUUAUACGACAUGUUUCUACCAUCAGGAAGUAUUAUCCGGUUUGCACUAGGAGGAUGUACUUGUAUCAGUGGAACUGGAGUAUUCUCAUACGUUAUAUUCACACAUAAAACUGCAACACAACCAAAUUUCAAUGAAAUUUUUUCUAUCAAAAGAAAACUUACAAACA